rnacentral:lncRNA from 1 species
AUUCAAAGGUUGUUGCAGAUUUUGUGAAAACUAAUAUCUUUGCUAGGUUUGGCAUGCCUAGAGUUCUCAUUAGUGAUGGAGGCAACCCAUGGAAAUAAAGAAGACCUAGGAAUUUCCGACUCCAAAACCAGGUGUUUGCGUUCUUUAACCCUCCUCUCUGUUGCUUUUACUUUGCCAUGUUUAUCAUGUUUCCUCGUUGUUUGUUUGUUUGCUUUUGUGUGAGUUUAUGUUUGAAACAUUGAGGACAAUGUUAGAUUUAAGUGUGGGGGGGGUAAACAAGUUGCUGUUGCAUGAUUUUCGUGGGAUUUUAUUCACCUAUCACUUACAAUGUUGUUCUUUGCUGUUUUAAGUGUUUUUAGUGUGUUUUUAAGCAUGUUAGUAUGUUUUGACAUAAAAAUCCGAAAAUUUGACAAAAAUUUGAAAAAAAAAUUGUUUUGAAAAAGCCAAAAAGAGUUGUUUUUGUGUGUUUGUUUGUGUCUUAGGGUACCUUCCAACACAAAUAAUGAGGAUUUGGUUUUUAAUUGCAUGACUGUUAAAGAAAGUUAUAAACAUGGAUGGAAGUUUGAUAUGCUCUUGAUUUAAUGCUUGGUUAUAGUUAUAGUUUACGAAUUCACAUGUAAUCACAAAGAAAAAAAAUCAGUUUUUGUAACAUGCUUGAAGGAAGGAACUCAAACUAACACUACAACCUUGAGAGACUUGAGCCUAAUACGUUCUUUGGAGAGUUAUUAAUCUGUGCAUUUUUGUUUUCUAAAGUCGUUGCAUGAUCUCAUCAUUGUUUGCUUGGUUGCUACUUAGAAGGCGUUUCAUCAUUUAGUUCCAAAUACUAGAACUUAUGCCCGUUCCAUUCAAAGCAUGACAUUGAUUUGCAUAACACAUAUUCAAGAUGAAGUUGUGUAGUAAACUAGAGCCAAAAAGCUUAUCCCGUGCAUAUUUGUUUAAGUUUAACCCCGUUGAGCCUUGUUUAGCCUGUUUUCUUUGUUAAACCACAUUUCCCUUACCUAGCCUAGAUUAGGACUAUCCAUACCCUUGUUUUUAAAGCAUAAUGAAGCAUGACUUAAAAUGAAUUCCUUUUGAUUGUCCUUAUGCAGAAAACAAGUGUGGGGGAAUGAGAUUUUUGUGUUUUGUGUGCCAAAAGAAAGUAAUAAGGCACGGGUUAGAAAAGAAAAAGAAAAAAAAAAGAAAAGAAAAAGAGUUUGAAAUAAGUGAGGAAAGGCUCACAAGUUUUGUUUGUAGUUGAAAUCGGCCCUAAAAAGUUGAAUGAAUAACCCCAUUGUGUUUAAAGUUAGUUGCUGCAUUCAAAGGGAAUUCUAAGCAUCAAUUUCAUUACUUUGCUUAUUAUGCUUUAAAAACGUUUGUUUCCCUACCUUUCAUUGUUAGCCAAUCACCCCUAACCCCGUUACAACCCUUAACUUCAAUCUUGAGUGUUAUGUGUUUCAAUAUGUGGAGUUUGGGAUUGGUACGAGCAUAUGGUGUCCCUGGUUCUCGCAUCUAAGUAGUAGCAUUCCAGUCAUGAGAUCAUAUCUAUACAUGCUUAAUAACUCCAGAAAUUGCUUUCUUUGCUAUAAACAUAUGUGAGUGUUCGUUUUCAUGUUUACAUCAAUCUUCUCACAUACAUCUAGUGUAGGGUAAAUAGUCAGAAAAUCAGAGUGAAAAUAAGAGUGUAUCUUGUAAGGAAUUGAGCAAAUUCUCUAAGGCAUGUUACUACAUUCAAAACAUCGUUUUAAUUGGUUAUAUGUGAACUAGUAUGUGGUGACUUUGAUUAAGUAUGUGCUCAAGGGUAGGGAAGGCAAAAAUCUGUGGUUAUGAUGAUCUUUUGCAUGUCAUGUUGCAUUGAAAAUCCCUAAGGUAAUUGUUGGAAGGUUUAGGUUUUGUUUUGUUCUUAUGUUUUGUUUCUUUGUUUUGCUCGAGGACUAGCAAAAGCUAAGUGUGGGGGAAUUUGAUAGGAGCAUAUUUAUGCGACUUAGUAUGUUUGUUUUCGUGCAUUUAUGUUCUUAGUUCUUAGUUAUGUUAGUAGUUUAAGCCAUUUUUGUGUGUUUGUAGGUUCUUUGGGCCAAGGAUGCAAGAAGGUGCAUUUUGGAGCACUUUGGAGCAUUUUUGGGCCAAGAUUGGAUGGUGCAAACAUGGAGACAUGAGGAUGGACGAAUUUGAUGAUUCAAUGGGCUAGAAAUCUACAUGUGUGUGUGCAAAGUGUUGGCCUACAACUUCAAACAUCAUAGCUGCCAUGUGAUGGCAGAAAAUGUGUUUAUUGCUAGCUAAAUGGAUGAAGAACAUGCAUGUGCAAGUAUAAACACCACAUGGGCAGCAAGAAGGAAAGAAAACAGCAACACACACACCACAUGGGCAGCAAGGAAUCAGAAAUUAAAGCAUGGAAGAGUGGGAAGUGAUGAUGACAACACAAACACACACACACGGCAAUGGAAUGGAGUUGGCAGAUUUCUACAACUUUGGUAGUGAAUGGACAGCAAGGAAUGGCAGAAAUUGGACCACUAUGAGGUGGAUUUCUGGUUGGUCUUCCACUUAUAACUUUGGGUGGCUUUGGAAUGAUUGUUUCUAGGUGGAAAGAGCACAAAAACAGCACACACACAUGCAAAAACAAAGCUGGCAGCAUCCUUUCUUCUUUGCCGUGAGUUGUCAUGUCCAUUGCCUUGCAAUUCUUUUCAUUUCCAACCUCUAUAUAAGCACCAUUCAGCCUUCAAGGAAGACACACAGAAAUUCAUACACAUUUCCAUUAGUUCCAAGGCUUGCAAAGAAGGAGGAGUGCUUGGAGUUGUGCUAGCCAUUCCAUUGGAGUUGUUGGAGCAUUCUAGGUGUAUUCUACUUUGUUUCUCUAUGUUUAAUAUCAAUUGUUUUUGUUUAAUUGCAAGUAUGAGGAACUAAACCCUUUAGCUAGGGGGUGAUUCGAAACUAUGUUUAUGCUUGCAAUAUGAAUUGAUUACCUUUGGUUGGAAUUUCAUAAGUUGUGGAUUCAAUUUGUUUAACCAUUUGAUUGAUAACUUAUUUAUGUAUGUUUAUUGAGAGUGCACGCUUAAUUUUCAUGCAUAAACAUGACACUAGAAUAUAAGUGAGUUUCACCUAAUCGUUAUGAACUUAUAUUCACAAGUAGUGGAGGUUGCUUAUAAACAAUCGCGUUAAAUGAAUUCUUGGCACUAGUUUCAUGCUUUUCAUAGUAACGAAUGCCUCGUCAACACUUAUAGUUUUCAUGAUGCUUAAUGAUCUUUGAUUGUAUCUUUAUUGUGCUUUUCACGUAAAGGACUUUUGGAGAAUGUUGUGAAUUGCGUUGCGCAAACCCAUCCAAUUCAUUAACUUAAGGAGAACUUGACGGUUAAUUUAAGCGGACCUAAUUAACCUAGGGUGUUGAGUUUCAUAAUUUAUCGAAAGACCAACUGAGAAUCGAUCUUGUAUUGCAAGUGUGACAUGUGUGGAGAAGAACCCCUUAAGCUAUUCCAUCAUCCAUAUUUUUCAUCGCAUUUAUAUUUACAUUUUGCCCUUAAUUAUAAUCUGUCCAUUUAAUUUAAUCUCGUCAAAAACAACUCAAUUCCCCCUCCCCAUAUUUUGUUAAAGUCUUAGUCGUUCAAAUCUAUCUUAUUUUAUGCUUUUAAGUAUUUGGAGUCUUUUGAACUUGUUUUGAGUCUUUUGGUUUGUCUUAGUGUUUUAAAAGUUAGUUUUAUUUAUUUGAGUCAAGUGUUUAGCACCCCUAGUUAAUCCCCGGUUAGAACGAUCCCUACUUACAUCAUUACUACAAUUGUCACAAAUAGGGUUUAAUUUGUCUGCUUAUAUUUUACGCAUCAUAAGUCGAUGAGUAAGAUGUCUAAAGUAUUUACCUCCUUGGAUUUGAUCCAAGGAAAGGUAACACUUUAGAACAGUUUCCUUGAAAGAUAUCAAGGAAAGAAGCAUCAUAAGAUAAUGGAUUUCUCCAUUGAGAGAAGAACGAACUCAAAUAAGAUUUAGUUCGUUGGAUGUUAUCAAUUACCCAUAUAUAAGAUAUACACUUCUAAGACAAUAUGAUUGUCAAUUAGAAGAUCUUCCAAAACUUUCAUGACUCCAUAGGAUGUAGUUGGAAAAAAAGACAAAUCUUAAUCAUGUUAAGAUUUGGGGUUGUGUGCUAAUAAGCAAUAGUUGUUUAAAGAAUUAUCUUGUGGGUAUUCUUAAAUUAACAUUUGGAUAUCACUUCUAUAAACCAACUAACAAAUGUUGUUUGUUGGGUAGCUCAUUGUAAUCCUACACUAGGAUUUGCCUAAGAUAGAGCAAAUGAACGAGGGAUAGAACUCAAAGAAUGGGUUCUUUAAGAUACAAGAUAGUGAUCAACAAAUAUAACAACCUAGUUCCUAUACCACAAGCUCCAAGGUAGUCAAGAAGGAUUUAUAAAUUGUCUCAGUUGAAUGGUUUGAACUUUAUGAUUAUGUCAUAGAGUUACACCUCUUAAUUCGAAAGAAAUAAGAAUGAAAAUCCUUAUGACUACAUUGAGUGUAUAUACGACAUAUACUCAAGGAAAUGGUAAAGUACCAUUUGACCCGAAAUAAUGAACCUUUAUAGCUAAUUGGUAGCUUAAGGUGACUACAAUCAAAGAGAUUGGUUGACUUUGAAGAAACCAUCUUUAACGUAGUCUUGGUUUCAAUUAAUUUGAAGAUUGCUAGCUACAACUAAAUGGUGAUUCAAUGUUUGGACAUAAUAUGGGUUUCCGAAACCAUUAUUAAGAUAGUCUUGAUAAUGUAUGUCUAAAACUAUGAAUCACAAGACAUGUAAGUUGUAAAGAUCCAUCCAUCAUGAAUCUUAGCAAGCUAGUGGGAGCUAUAAGCGUCUUAUGAGAGAAAAGAUCAAAUCGUUUGAUUUCUCAUAAAGAUGUAAAUGAAUCUUUUGUUUACUAGGUUUACAAAAGAUUAGUGGGAGUUAAUCAUGUUCCUAAAUUUGAAUAUAUAUAUAUACACAUAUAUGAUAUAUUAAUUUUGGAAAUGAAAAGAAUACUUCUUCGUUAAAGUUAUGACUUUAAACAUUCUAUAAAGAUAGAAUGUAUAUGGGAGACAUAGUCUAUAAACAUGGGAUGGAAAUCUAUAAUGAUAGAUUUCAGGAUAUAAUUGGAUUAUAUCAAGCCCUAAUGAUAGACAUAAGAUGCUAGGAAGUUUCUCAUAUGAUGAUAAACUUCAAUCAGAAGAACAACUCUAGUGAGACUAGGAGGUAGCUCUUUUCAAAGGGAACGUACCCUUUGACUCCCAAAUAAAUAAUGCGUAAAUAGAAUCCUUUAUGUAUACGCAAAAGGUGAUUUAUGUAUUUCAUAUUGUAUGAAAAACGUUGAUAUGAGUUGUACCAAAAUCGGUACAAGACUAUAUCAAUGCAAGCCCAGGAUCAGAACCAUGACAACUGUCAAGUGAAUCCUUAAGUAUUUGAGAAAUAAUAAAGGAUGGAUUCCUCAAGAAUGAGGAAGAAUUAGAGUAACGUAAUGGAAGCGUAAAUGUAUUAGAUUAUGAAUCUAAUCUAUUAUUGGAUGUUUCUUCAUUAUGAAUGAAGAGAUAAUCAGAUAUCUCUUUAUUAUAACUAAAGAGAUAUUUGGAUGGAAACAUUAAAAGUAAUGACUUUAGAGUGUUCCAUUAUGAAUGCAAAAUAUAUUGCCAUAUAGAAGCUUACAACAAUGUUGUUUGGAUGGGAAAGUUCAUUUAUGAACUCUUUAUUCGGUUCCAACCAGAAAGUGUCUCCAGUGUACCGACACUACGACACUAAUGAGGCGAUAGCUCAAGCCAGGAAAUCACGGUCUCAUCAAGAUCAGAACUCAAAUGAGAGACUGAACCACAUGAUUGAGAAUCAUGUAUAAUGGUGACGUCGUUAUUCUCAAGGUUGCUUCUAUGGAUAACAUAUAGAUAUCCAUUGCCUAGGCCUGCUACUCAGCCAUUUUUUGAAAUGACUACAGAAGAGGUAUCAUCAUUGAUGACCAAGCUGAUUGGCUCUAGUGCAAGUGGGAGAUUGUUAGAAAUGUGCCCUAAAACCAAUCAUAUGAUGAUACUUUACGGACAUUUCACAUGUUAAACUAAUCUAGUUUAAUAUCAAGGGUAAAGAUUAUUGUUUUAAGCCGUCUCAUAUAAAUGUUAUAUGCUUAAACGAUAAGUCCAAGGAAUAUGUAAUUAGGAGAAUGUAAUUUAAGGAAGUUAGAUUCAUGAAACCAUUCUCUUUUGUAUACAUAUCCUAAACGUUCCUGAUCAUAGGAUUGCCAAUUGGGCAUUGACAGUCCGUUAAGAUUAGUACGUGAUGUGUCUUCUCUCAAGAAGAGUGAUUGGUCUCGAGUCAUUGGUGUGAUUGACACUAAGACAAGCAUGUAGGUGCUCAAUAGAGAAUGAGUCCACUGAACACGAUCAACGAGGAGUUCUCAUACUCAUGUCACAUGAGAACUCAUGGUUGGGAUAAUGCAAAGUAGUCCUUUGACCUGAGGCAUCAUAGUUGUCUUAUGGUUAGGUCUUUGAUCUUUGACUAUGUCAAAGUCACUAUGUCAGAGGGUGUCCACGGCAUAGUUGGGGUUAAGUCACUUAGCCAUGGAGGCAAGUGAAUGCGCAACAAGGGAUCUCUAACCUUCAAACCGUUUGAGGGAGAAUACUCUAUAAUAUGAUUAAGAAUCUCUGGCCAGAGUAUGAAUGAGAUUUAGGAUAGUAGACAUGAUUAAACUAUCAAACCAAACAAUGUGGUCAAGAGUAUUGUACUAGAGAAAGAUCGUAUUGCAUUGUAAUCCUAAACUGAAUAGGUUCUCCACCUCUUCUGAUUAGCUUGGGUAACCAUGAUAUACUGCUAGGUGUCACUCAUGGUUUGUGGAAGUCCUAAACGUGUAUAAUCACUAAGGGGAGAAUUGAAAGUAAGUUUCAAUUCACAAUCGAUUUGAAAGAGUUCUAAUCGCCCACUGCCUCGCUAAAAGGAACCUAAUGGAUCGUACACCGUGUAAGGUAGAGAUUGAAGAAAAACCGGAGAUGAGUAAGGAUAAUUAAAUGGUUUAAUUAUUUGUGGCAAGGAUUAAUUAAUAUGUUAAUUAAUCAAACGAAUAAAGUUCGUUAAAGACCUCAGGUUAGUUUUGGGCCUCAAGGCCCAAUGGGCUUCGAACGUCAAGCCCAUUGACUUAAGUUGUAUGACAACUUAAUGACUAAAUAUUCACAAAGGUCCAAACAGCCCAAUAACACCCUAUGGCCGGCCAUAUUGAUAAAGGAGUGGGUUUUGGACUUAUUACAAGUUUGCCACUCCACUGAAGGUAGGUAUAAAUAUGACUUUAUAGCCUUUUCUUCAUUAGGGUUUCUUUUAGAGAAAAGAUGAGAACACAAGCUCCAUUUUUCUCUCUAAGAGGCCGGCCCCCUUGGAGGAGAUUAGCUAGCAAUCUCUCAUCCUCCAAGGUCACUUAUCUCUUCUUCAAGUCCAUCCUUGGUGUGGAAAAAUUAGAGGUUCUCAACUUUGGGAACUUGGAGAAUCCUUUCAACCAUCCUCAUCCAAGAAACCCAUGGAUCUAAGAAGCAAGGAAUGAAGGCCCUCUCCUUGGGUGAUUAGCCUUUGCUUAUGCAAAGAGGAAUCAACAAAGGUAUAAAAUCUCUCAACUCACUUUGUUCUUGAGUUGAGUCUUGGUUCACCUUUCUACUAGGCUUUGAAUUUCAUGGGUAAUGUUUUGUUUUGAGUGCAUACAAGCAUGAUUCCGCCUUUAAUUGUUAAUUGCAUGCCUUAGAUGUUGCUCAAAUGAACAUGUUUUUCACAAAAUUUCCUUCAAUCUAAACGCUGACAUCAAUAUUUGCAAAGAGAACCAAGUGACCAAACGAAAAAAAAAAAAAAAUGGAAGGGUCGAAAGAGGUGUGUAAAAUUCCUUAUUACGAUCUAAAUCGUUCCACACUUUGCCCAAAAUUUUCGGCAUAUGCUGGUACGACAAGGGGUUAUGGGAUGUAGAUCCAGGGAACCAAUCAGGUCAAGCAUUUCAAGAACAAGCUUAUGGUUGGGUGAGAAGUAAGAUGCAGGAAAGAGGGAGAGAAAAUUGGAUGGGAGAGAAAUGGGAAAACGACGAAAAAUGUCGGGAAAACGAUGAAAACACUUUGAAUCAGCAAAAGAUGCCAUGACCUCACAAUCCGACAACCAGAGGUAGCAGAAGGGCAGGUCACAAGCAUAGGGCAAAAAGGAACCCCGAGAGUGGUGGAAGCCAACAAGAAAGUGGGGGAGAGGAAGAGAGAAGAAAAAGAAAGAAAAAAGAAAAAAAUCAGGAAAAAAAAAUCCAGUCGGGGGAGGGGGAAGGUGGCUAUGGGAUGGGGAUGGGGAAAGGGCCAGGAGGAAAGAAGAGAAAAUGAGAGAAACCAGCCCAAGCCUGAGCAAGGUACACUUCAAAUUAAUGGUAUUCUUUUUCUUGUAAGUUGUGUGUGAGAGGUUAUAAGUUUGAAUCUCGUAAAUGGCGAGCUCAAAACCAAUUUACUCCCAUGCUCUCACCAUAAAUAUGUCGUUCUAUAUAAAAAUAAAAAAAUAAAAUAAAUUAUAAAUUCCAAGGUCUUGAUCUUUUCCUUGUAAUAUUUGUGACUCCUAAUAUAGAUCUCAUAAAAAAGAAGAGGAAGGCAAACUCAAAAGUUUGGAUGUGUUCCAAUGUCCUAAUCAUUUCACCCAUAUCAAUAUUAUCACCUUGGAUAAUCAACUCUAGCACCUUCGCAACGGAUUUGAACAUAGAAAUGAUACUAAUCAAUGUACCAUAACGUGGUCCCCAAUGUGUAUCAUUGGGUUACUUGAGACAAGUUUUUUUUAUGAGCCUCGAACCGUUGUAAGACAAUCAUUCUCAAGAGUAUUUGAAAUAUCGUAUCUAAGUGUUUCAAGACGCCUACACAGUACUCCAGUAGCAUUGACCAAACCAUUAGACUAUGUGAAAAAAGCGACUAUCUUACCAUUUGGUUUGCUACAACCACAAGUACUAGUUGAAGUUGAUGUACAAAACAACAAACAUAAAAUUAAUGCACACGAGUGUUCUCUCAAAUGAUACUUUUGAGACCAUUGAACCCACCUUUCAUAAUAGUUGCUCCAUCAUAAGCUUACCCACAUAACAUAAACAUGCUCAAUUUAGAUGUAGAAAACAAUUGACCAAUGACACUUUUUUGUGACUUGGAAGUGGUGUAACUGACAUAUUGAACUCCUAAAAGGAAGCGGAUCCCCUCCGGACCCUUUGAAACUGAGCCUCCUGACUAAGGGAUCUGGAUUGUUAAAAUUUGAUCUAAUGGCUACAAAUAGGGGGCCCCUCUAAAAGUUAUAAUAAUUGUAGCGGUUAAAUCAAAUUUCAACUGUCUGAAUCUCUUAAUCAAGAGGCUCAGUUUACAAGGAUCCAGAGAGAAUCUGGUUCCCUCCAAAAAACCUUUCAAUUACUUGCCCCUUGCCCACAUAACGAAGCACUACCUCCAUAAGCUCCUUUAUUGAAAUAUCAUAGGAUUCUUCAACAAUAUAGAAAAUAAUUUUUCUUUGGGAAAUUUUAAUUAAAUCCAUGUAACCUCUUUCUACACUCAACUUAAAAUUUAAAUGUGAAUUGUCUCCUUUACCCUAUUGCAUAAUUACCAUCCAGUACAAGAUGAAACAACAAUAAAACUAAAAUUUAUCAAUAAACCCACACCCAAUAAUCAAAUCCUACCAUCACACAAUCUUUAUCCUACUUUAAUUAUGGCUAAAACUUUAAGAGCUCUCAUAGAAAAAAACAAGCUCUUUUAUCAAUGGAUGGUAAUUUGAAGUUUUAAAUCCUCAAACUAAAGUAUGAAUCGAUUUAUGCAAGUAUUUUUCGCUUGAUUUCAAUUUUUUUUUUAAGUUUAGGAACAAAAAUUCGGUGAUAGUAGAGUUUCUUAUAUUUAUGUGCCCUAUGAAUGUUCCUUUGAAUUACAUCUUUACUUCUAAACUACAUUCGUUUUAGGCAUUAGAGAUUCUUUGGUCCUAUCUUGAUAAGCUUGUGCAAAUCAUUAAUCUUCCUUGAAUUUUGGUCGUUGAUUUCGAGGAUGUAAAGUUCAAUCUUCAAGCUUGACAAAAGAAGAAUUCCAAUAGAUGCCAAAAGCCUUGGAUCCAACUCCAAAACAAAGAACAUUGACGAAUCUAGAAACACUAUAACUACCUAAAAAAUAAUGGGAACUAGAGGCCAGCAAGAUGACUGAUGCUUUUCAAGACCGGUCUCAAAUGCAAGUUAAGCAACACAGCCAACUAGAAAGGGAAUGACAGAAACCAAGGGCGGAAAGCCAAGCAUUGGCCAGGUUACAUACACAGCAAACAGAAGAGCCAUGACCUUGAAUCCCGUGGUAAAGAAAGCAGAUGUCAAGUAUCCUCUUAUGCCGGUGAUGAGACCCCAUGUAUUUGGACUGAACAGCAGAUAUGGCUUUUGCACUCUAUCAGUUACAAGCAGGAAUGUUGCAAGACCCAUAUAAAAUAUGAAAGCAGGCAUAUGUAAGCAUGGGACUUUAUGUUUAUGCAACUAAAACUAUGGGGACAUGGAUAUCAAGAAAACAAGAUAUCGAACUGUUAUGUAUAUGGAAUAUUCAUAAACAAGUAGAAAUUUCACCAAAUUAUUCAACUUGUCCAUAAAAUUCGAACUCCAUAAAGCUUUUAUUCUCAUAAAUAAGUACAAACUUCACCAAAUUAUUCAUUUGGGCUUUUAUUUUCUAAAUGGUGUAAAGAUAAAUUUACAUUUUAAAUUGGGUUUGUUAGGGUAGUUUAGAUAGUAAAUUUGGGUUUAAAGAGAUAUUAAUUCUUUAACUAAAAAUAAUAUGAAUAUAAAAAAUAAGUUGAGUGUAGAAAUAUAUUAGAUGAGUUCAAAUAAAAUUCAUUUUUUCUUUCAUAUCAUCGGUUACAACUUUAACAAUUUCAAGGGACACUUAUAUUGACACGAUCUUUCUGGAAUGCGGUAGCCACAAGUUUGAUAUUUCCCUUGCAACACGACCUUAACUUCCUUAUCACCAUCUACAAGAAAUUGUGGAAAACCGAUAUAAUUCCCCCAAUUACAUGAUGUUGGUGAUUCAUCGUGACCAGAAAGGGAGGAAUUGGUGGUAAUAAGAAUCUAGUGCAAGCACUUAAUGCAUUCAAGCAUAUGACAAUGAGUCCGGAUUCUCGUUGAAUUUUCUUUAUGAGGAUUUCAGGAAUUUGUAAAUCGUGUCCGUUCAUCGCACAUUGUGCGAUUAGAGAUUAUUUUAAAUAUUUUUAUUUAAAAAUAAACAUAAAUAGUACUUGAUAAAAAAUGGCGCACGAUAUAUAAUGAACAUAUACGAUUUACAGAUUCUCAGAAUCCUUACCCAAAGGAUCCGGAGAGGAUCUAUUGGUAAUACAAUAAUUGUCACGAGCUUUGUUUAUUGCUUCAAAAUCUUGGUCAAAAGAGUCCGGCCGUGCAAAGGCAAAAUCCUAGCCUAAGACCAUCUCCAAUCCUGACCUAAAACCUAAAAAUAUUUAGCCCAGAAAAUUUAGGUUUUAGCCCAGAAACAGCUUUUUUACUCCAACCCUUUUGGCCUAAAAUUUUAGCCUCAGAUUAUCAAAAAAUGAAUUAAGGCUAAUUUUUUUUUAAAUUAACUUUUUAAAAAAAAUUAUGUAGACUAUCCUAAAUUAAUUUUAUGAACAUUUUAACCUAAAAAUAUUUAAAUUCAGAUAAAUUUUGAAAAAUCACUAAAUCAAUACAUAAAAAUCAUGAUAAACCACAUAAACUUAAAAAAAAAUAUUAUUCUAACCGUUGGAAAAAAAAUAUUUAAAUUCCGAUAAAUUUUAAGAUUAUUCUAGCCAUUGGAUUUACAUUUAGACCGUUAGAUCUUUUUUUUACCGUUAGAUUUGAUUAUAUUCGAUUUAAGCCGUUGGAUUCAAUAAUAUAUAAAUAUAAAACAAAACAAAAAUUGAAUGUGGACCUUUGGAUUAACCAACGGUCCAAUUACCAACACCACCCGAUGAAGAAAAGUAGCCGUUGGCUAUAGGACAAUGCCCACUUUUCACUCUCAUCUGUGGGUCCCAGCAGCUUUUGUGGGCUAAAUUUGUGACCUAUAUUUGCCUUCAUUUUAAGUUUUAGGUUUUAGGUUUGGUUUAGGUUUUGGGUUGGAGUGGAUUUAGGGGGGGGAAGGGGAAAAUUUAGGUUAUAAGUCACCAUUGGAGAUGGUCUAAGGGCUUGCCAAAAGGCAAGAUGACAACACGUUGACGUUAGCCAUAUAUAUAUAUAUAUAUUUUGUUUUUUGAAAGAUUAUAUUUACACAUCUUAAAUUAUUUUUUAUAUAUCUUUUUAGUUUUUUAAUAUUUUAUACACACCACUAACACUUGAUAGAAAAAUAUUAAAAAAUUAAAAAGAUGUGAAAAAAGUAAUUUCAAGUGUGUGAAUAUAAUCUUUUUUUUUUUUUUGUGUUUACAUGCACUAUGUGAGUGGGAGCAAAGGUACAUGUGGCUCGAUCUGGUACACUUUUCAUACUCUAAUCUAACAAUCCCAUUUAUUUCCUAUUAAAAAUUAAAAACAAUAACUAAAAAUUUAAAAAAAAUAAUUCGUUGAAAAAUUAUAGAAAAAAUUAUAAACUUUCAGAUUGUUUUUUUCUUCUAAAUCCUAAAAAAAAAAAAAUUAUGACUUUGUUUCCUAUAAAUAUUUAACCAUCGUCCUCAUUCUCUACGCCAAAACUCCAUACAAAUUUUUUUCUUUCAUAUCUUUGUUUGCCUAAAAACUAGAUUGUCAAUAGGGAUGACAAUAGUUUGGUUUAGGGAUGUAAGUGUCAUAUCUAUUCUUAUAACCACAAAAAUUAAUCAUAUCAAUAACCAUAAAUUAACCAUCGAGAAUUAUCCGUAGUUAUAUCCAUUGUAGUAUUUGCCCAGGCCCCCAUUUUGCCAAGAAAAAAUGGGUGGACUUAUCUUAAGGUGGGUCCCACUAGUUCAAGUAGUUCUCACAUUAUAUCUCUAUUAGAUGUAAAUAGAUCGUAAACAUAGUUUUUACAAUUAAAGUUUUCAUCUCAGUGUUGAAGAUGAUCUUACACGUACAAUUUUCUGUUACGGAUUGAACAAUGGGUAAGUCUCCAUUCCAGGAAAGAAACAAAUACCAUUAUAUAAUAUGUGUUAAACAACGUGCAAGUCUUCAUUCGAAUUUACCUGAUCUUGCUCCAUUAUGAUGUAGAUGCUGGAAAUUAUUCAAUAUGAUCCAACCUUAAGUAUGGCCUUUAUUGGUGUCGUUACUUGUAAGUGAAGGCUAAAAGGAAUUCCUAAUAUUAUACGGAUAUGAUUAUUAUCUUGUGGGAAUAAGGAUGGCCUUAGGGUUAGGGGUUUCUUUUAAGGAAAACUAAUGAAAAGAACUUGAAAACUUUGAGUUUUAACGAAAAAGACAAAAAUGUGUUGCAAGUGAAUAGUACCAUGAUUGAUAUUUUAGAGCUAAAAUGUAGUUUUUCGUUAAAAUGAACAGUACCGGAAGCUUUUCGUUAAAGUUCCAUUUCUUUUACGGACAGAACUCUACACUCCCCAUUGAGUUGUUGUAUCAAGGCUUGAGAGUUUAAAGAAGAUCGCAUGAUUCUCAAACUAGUUUGAGGUACUAUCCUGGCUGCUCUGCUAAGUCCUUCAGAUAUGUCUUCUUUCGGUGAUCUAUUUAUAUAAAUAUUCACGAUAACAGUAGAAUCUAAUAACCAAACAUAUAUAUUAUGUCAUCUGGUAAGAUACUAUUGCUCUAUAUAUGCAUAUUUGUGUAUGUACGUAUAUAUACCUAGACCUAGACCUGUAUGCUAAAUAACUAAUAUACAUAUAGAAAAAAUAUCCUUUACAACAGUGGGCCUAGCCAGGAAUUGUACGUAAUUGGGUCAGAAUACCAACAAAAGAAAACUUCACUAAACCAUUUUAUCGAGCAUCUAGUAAGCAUCUACCAAUUCAUGCCAACAUAUGCUCGAAGUUUAUGCCAACAUAUGUCAACAAGCACUAUUAUUUGUAAACGCUUGUUAAGGGUGGAUGCAAAAUUAUGUGGAGUAACGUUGAACACUGCUAAGGCUUUUCAACUAAGGUAUUUCAUUGAGCACAUUGUGGCACAAUACAGUCGCGCACAAUAAAAGUCGCACACAAGAAGAAAGAAAAGAAAGACAAAUAUGAUAGAAGAAAAUAGAAGCAUGAGGAAAAUGUUGUAAUUUAGUUUUCCUUAGUUGUUUAGAAGGGUCAAAUACAAUAUACAAACAAAUAUACAUGGAGUUUUGAAGUUGUUGAAAUUAAGAACAAUCAAUGACUCCAUGCUGGCUCCUCUACUAAUUUACAAUUAUAGUCAAUUGACACUAAAAUGAUUUAACGCAGUUUCAACAAAACUAUGGCUGUUUUUUUUUUUUUUUUUUUUUGACAAGAAACGAUAGCAUAGUCUUUCAUUAAUCAACACCAAACAAUUACAGAGUGUCAUUGGGUACAUAAUUCCAGUGACCAAUAAAUUGAUCUGGAAUGAAUUUGCACAAAACAGACAAAUAACAGUAAACCCUUAGUAGACACCCACAAACCACACAAUCGCCAUGCGCACAAGAACUACCAGUACAUAUCUAUCACAAUAAACGAUAGUCGCAACAGAGAGAUACCGGCAGACACAACGGUCAUCGCUGAAUAGCGAUGCCACAAAAAGUCAUCGCGAAAGUGCGAGAUCACAUCAAAGUCAUCGUUAGUGGACGAGACUCACAAUACACAAUGCACAAAGGCAAAGACCAAAUUAGCCAAAACACCAGUGCCACUGCGGUGCACAAGGGCGAGAGGAACUACAAUACACUGAGAAGGGAUUCGAUGUACAACUCAUAAUAGGGGGAACGAGGCACUCAUGCCAAGGGCACCUACAACUUCCGGACAGUGGGACGCCGACAUCCACACACAAGCCGAGCCGAACCGCAACGAGAUGUACAGGCAAAGCUCCCAGACCAAGCCCAUUUUCUAGAGCUGAGAGCACCGAAGCCAUCGAGGAGGGUGACUGAUGUGCAAAUUACUUGACACACAAAUUAACCCUCUUUUUGACAAUUGUAGUAUAGAUGUAAGUAGGGAUCGUUCUAGGCCGGGGAUUAGGAGGGAUUGCUAAACACUUGAAAACUGACUUAAAAACAUAAAAACAAAAUUUAAAACACUAAACUAGACUCAAAGAAUGCAAAACUAUACUUUAAAAUACUUAAACAAACAUAAAACUCAAAACAGCAACCUAAUGACUCAAAACUGCCUAAAAACCACUUUCUGGGCAGUUUUGAGAACCUAACAAGAACUUGGACGAAGUUGGAUGAAAACUUGAAUCAAAACACUUAGAAACACAAAUCAAAACACUUUCUAACUAAUCUAAGACUUCAAAAUAAAGGGGGAUUUGUUUUGGACGAAAAUUGAAAACAAAACAGAAACUUUAAAAUAAAACAGAUUGUAAAACGUUUUUGGAUGAAAAGGAUGGAUAAAAGGCUAGUUAGGAGGUUCUUCUCCACACAUGACACACUUGCAAACAAAAUGAUUUUCAGUUGUUCUUUCAAUAAAUUAUGAAACUCAACACCCCAAGUUAAUUAGAUACGCUUAAAUUAACCUUCAAGUUCUCCUUAAGUUAAUGAAUUGGAUGGAAAAGCGCAUACAACAAUUCAAAGCAUUCCUCAAAGGUUCCUUACGUGAUGAGCACAAUAAAGAUACAAUCAAGAAUCAUGAAGCACAAUGAGAACUAUAAGUGUUGACGAGGCAUUCGUUACUAUGAUGAGCAUGAAACUAGUGCCAAG